UGGUCAGUAGGUUGGUCGUGCCACCGGUACGUACUGGUCUCACUGAUUCCUCCUUCCUGAAGAACCGUAAUGCCAUUAAUUUGGUGUUGCGGGGAAACAGGACUGUUACUCUGAAAAAAUUAGAGUGUUUAAAGCAAGCUAACGCUUGAAUACAUUAGCAUGGAAUAAUGAAAUAGGACGAUCGAUCCUAUUUUGUUGGUUUCUAGGAUUGACGUA
rnacentral:rRNA from 1 species